UGUCGUCAGCUCCGCGUCGUGAGAUGUUCGGUUAAGUCCGCUAACGAGCGCAACCCUCGCUGUAUGUUACAUGUGUCAUACAGGACCGCCGGUAUCAAGCCGGAGGAAGGUGGGGAUGACGUCAAGUCCGCAUGGCCUUUAUGUCCGGGGCUACACACACGCUACAAUGGUCGGUACAAUGGGUUGCUAAGCCGCGAGGUGGAGCCAAUCCCCCAAAGCCGGCCUCAGUUCAGAUUGCAGGCUGCAACUCGCCUGCAUGAAGCUGGAGUUGCUAGUAAACGCGCGUCAGCUAUAGUGCGUUGAAUACGUUCUCGGGCCUU
rnacentral:rRNA from 1 species